rnacentral:rRNA from 1 species
GACGAACGCUGGCGGCGUGCCUAAUACAUGCAAGUCGAACGCUGAAGAGAGGAGCUUGCUCUUCUUGGAUGAGUUGCGAACGGGUGAGUAACGCGUAGGUAACCUGCCUGGUAGCGGGGGAUAAUUAUUGGAAACGAUAGCUAAUACCGCAUAAAAUUGUUUUUUGUAUUAUAAUUAAUUGAAAUAUGCCACUGCAUCACUAACAGAUGGACCUGCGUUGUAUUAGCUAGUUGGUGAGGUAACGGCUCACCAAGGCGACGAUACAUAGCCGACCUGAGCGGGUGGUCGCCCACACUGGGAGGUGAACACGGACCAGACGCCUACGGGAGGCAGCAGUAUGGAAUGGGCGGCAACAGGGGGAACCCUGACCGAACAGGGCGACGUGAGUUGAGAAGGUGUUCGGAUCGUAAAGAUCGGUUGUAAGAGAAAAACGGGUGUGGGAGUGGAAGGAGCGCGCUGGGACGUUAUCUGACCAGAAAGGGACGGCUAACUACGU